rnacentral:lncRNA from 1 species
CUUUAAGUGUUUAAGGAGAUAGAGCAGCUCCCUCAUGAGUAGAGACUAACAAGGCUGAAACUCUUCUUUAGAAAGGAAAAAGCUGAGUAAGAUUCGGUCAAGAUUUAUGAAACUGAGAAGGAAGUAGAUAGAUACACAACUGUUAUUCAUUAGGUCCUAUAAUCCAAAAACCAGGUGACACUCGCUGUAACAACUAUCAAAAUAGAUUAAAAGUUUCCAAACUGCGUGUGCAAAUAAUAACAUCUGAAGCCAUUCAUACCCUGCUUAAAAGAAGAACAAGAACACCAAGUGCUGUCAUGAACUGAACUACACAUGCGUAGACAUCCAGGCAAGCCAAAUCCAGACACCUGUGUUGAACGAUGUUGCUAAAGGUAAGUGAAGAACAUGCACCAACCUUCGACAUCUAAUAGCGGAACCAUUAAAU